UACAGGGGGUGCAAACGUUGCUCUGAAUCAUUGGGCGUAAAGCGCACGUAGGCGGUUCGUUAUGUCGGAUGUGAAAGCCCUUGGCUUAACCGAGGAAGUGCAUCCGAAACUGGCGAGCUAGAGUACGAAAGAGGAUCGCGGAAUUCCCGGUGUAGAGGUGAAAUUCGUAGAUAUCGGGAGGAACACCGGUGGCGAAGGCGGCGAUCUGGGUCGAUACUGACGCUGAGGUGCGAAAGCGUGGGGAGCAAACAGG
rnacentral:rRNA from 1 species